rnacentral:ncRNA from 1 species
CCAAGGAGUCAAUGGGUCUUGAUUAGGCCCAGAGGCGCAAUAAAAGCAAAGGGCGGCAGAAUGCCAUCUGAGUUGGGAUUCUGGGGUUUCCACAUUCAAGGAGCACCAACGAUCCGUCCUGUCUGAUUUAUCUCGGUUGGGCGGAGUAUGAGCGUACAUGUUGGGACUCGAAAGAUGGUGAACUAUGCCCGGGCAGGACAAGGCCAGAGGAAACUGGUUGAGGUCCAUAAUGAUUCUGACAUGCAAAUCGAUCAUCAGAUCCGAUCCUAGGGACGAAAGACUAAUCGAGCCGUCUAGUAGGUGG